rnacentral:misc_RNA from 1 species
UCAAAUCGUCGAGAAAUGCUC